rnacentral:rRNA from 1 species
UGAGUAACCUGCCCUGGACUCUGGGAUAACCCCGAGAAAUCGGAGCUAAUACCGGAUAGGACCUGGAACCGCAUGGUUUGGGUGGAAAGUUUUUCGGUCUGGGAUGGACUCGCGGCCUAUCAGCUUGUUGGUGAGGUAAUGGCUCACCAAGGCGUCGACGGGUAGCCGGCCUGAGAGGGUGACCGGCCACACUGGGACUGAGAUACGGUCCAGACUCCUACGGGAGGCAG